UACGUAGGGUGCGAGCGUUGUCCGGAAUUACUGGGCGUAAAGAGCUCGUAGGCGGUUUGUCGCGUCCGCUGUGAAAAUCCAGGGCUUAACCCUGGACCUGCAGUGGGUACGGGCAGACUAGAGUGCGGUAGGGGAGAUCGGAAUUCCUGGUGUAGCGGUGAAAUGCGCAGAUAUCAGGAGGAACACCAAUGGCGAAGGCAGCUCGCUGGAACGGUACUGACGCUGAGGCGCGAAAGCGUGGGGAGCGAACAGG
rnacentral:rRNA from 1 species